AUUGAACGCUAGCGGGAUGCUUUACACAUGCAAGUCGAACGAGUGGCGGACGGGUGUGUAAUAUAUCGGAACGUGCCCAGUAGCGGGGGAUAUCUACUCGAAAGAGUGGCUAAUACCGCAUUAUAUUGUAUGGGCAGAUAUUGGAUUGGCUAGUUGGGGGGGUAAAGGCUCACCAAGGCAACGACCCGUAGCUGGUUUGAGAGGACGACCAGCCACACUGGGACUGAGACACGGCCCAGACUCCUACGGGAGGCAGCAGUGGGGAAUUUUGGACAAUGGGGGAAACCCUGAUCCAGCCAUCCCGCGUGUAUGAGAAGGCCUUCGGGUUGUAAAGUACUUUUGGCAGUGAAGCGGUAUCUGCAGAAGAAGCACCGGCUAACUCCGUGCCAGCCGCCGCGGUAAUAC
rnacentral:rRNA from 1 species